AGCAGUCGCCGCGGUAAUACGUAGGGUGCGAGCGUUAAUCGGAAUUACUGGGCGUAAAGCGUGCGCAGGCGGUUAUAUAAGACAGAUGUGAAAUCCCCGGGCUCAACCUGGGACCUGCAUUUGUGACUGUAUAGCUAGAGUACGGUAGAGGGGGAUGGAAUUCCGCGUGUAGCAGUGAAAUGCGUAGAUAUGCGGAGGAACACCGGUGGCGAAGGCAAUCCCCUGGACCUGUACUGACGCUCAUGCACGAAAGCGUGGGGAGCAAACGGGAUUAGAUACCCCUGUAGUCCCUGUCUCUUAUAA
rnacentral:rRNA from 1 species